rnacentral:rRNA from 1 species
UACGUAGGGGGCAAGCGUUGUCCGGAUUUAUUGGGCGUAAAGAGCGUGUAGGCGGCUAGGUAGGUCCGUUGUGAAAACUCGAGGCUCAACCUCGAGACGCCGGUGGAAACCAUCUAGCUAGAGUCCGGAAGAGGAGAGUGGAAUUCCUGGUGUAGCGGUGAAAUGCGCAGAUAUCAGGAAGAACACCUAUGGCGAAGGCAGCACUCUGGGACGGUACUGACGCUGAGACGCGAAAGCGUGGGGAGCGAACAGG